rnacentral:rRNA from 1 species
UCCAUAGGUUAAUGAGGCGAACCGGGGGAACUGAAACAUCUAAGUACCCCGAGGAAAAGAAAUCAACCGAGAUUCCCCCAGUAGCGGCGAGCGAACGGGGAGGAGCCCAGAGCCUGAAUCAGCAUGUGUGUUAGUGGAAGCGUCUGGAAAGGCGCGCGAUACAGGGUGACAGCCCCGUACACAAAAGCGCAUGUGCUGUGAGCUCGAUGAGUAGGGCGGGACACGUGGUAUCCUGUCUGAAUAUGGGGGGACCAUCCUCCAAGGCUAAAUACUCCUGACUGACCGAUAGUGAACCAGUACCGUGAGGGAAAGGCGAAAAGAACCCCGGCGAGGGGAGUGAAAAAGAACCUGAAACCGUGUACGUACAAGCAGUGGGAGCCCCACCACCAAAGCAUUUGCUGUACCGCGUUGACGGAGCGAAGCGACGUCAAACCG